rnacentral:rRNA from 1 species
GAUGAACGCUGGCGGCGUGCCUAAUACAUGCAAGUCGAGCGAACAGACGAGGAGCUUGCUCCUCUGACGUUAGCGGCGGACGGGUGAGUAACACGUGGAUAACCUACCUAUAAGACUGGGAUAACUUCGGGAAACCGGAGCUAAUACCGGAUAAUAUAUUGAACCGCAUGGUUCAAUAGUGAAAGACGGUUUUGCUGUAAUUUAUAGAUAGAUCCGCGCCGCAUUAGCUAGUUGGUAAGGUAACGGCUUACCAAGGCAACGAUGAGUAGCCGACCUGAGAGGGUGAUCGGCCACACUGGAACUGAGACACGGUCCAGACUCCUACGGGAGGCAGCAGUAGGGAAUCUUCCGCAAUGGGCGAAAGCCUGACGGAGCAACGCCGCGUGAGUGAUGAAGGUCUUCGGAUCGUAAAACUCUGUUAUUAGGGAAGAACAAAUGUGUAAGUAACUAUGCACGUCUUGACGGUACCUAAUCAGAAAGCCACGGCUAACUACGUG